CCCGCGCGCGACUCCUGCAUUCCCCACGCGUCGUCAGCAAAUGGUGAGGGCAGACAACGAGAGCUCAUGAGAAGGCAAUGCGAGGGGAUGCAGCCUAAGAUCGGCGCGUUCUUCAAGCGUCAGGAAAUAGCGUCAGAUUUGAGCAGGUUCUUCUUCUUCUUUCCCCCUUCGAAUCGAUUACCCUUGGUACCUAAUCCUGUCGUAUCCAAUUGCUGUGACGUCUGACAAAUAAUGCGAAGAGAAGAUGCAUUGGCACAUGUGCUGAUCGCUGAGAUGCAACUUGUGAUUUCGUUCUUAUUUCCGCAAGUUUUUGCUGAUCUGUCUGUUGUAAUCAGCUUUUUUUUUUUAUGUUCCUGGUCCCUACUGGAUAUGAACGCUCAGCCUUCCUGUACAUGUUGAAAUGGUGUCUUAUAAAACAGUGGAGAUCCAAACUUGAUAGUGACACGACAAUGCUACUGCAUAAUUUGCUUGCAGUUGGUAAUUACACUUGGUGUAGGAUAUGCAAUCAAACUUGUAUUAUACUUGCUCUGCUUUGAGGUGAAGGACAAAUAUCUGACUUUGUAAAACUAUGCUGUUGCUCUCCAGAGGGACUCCUUCCCCAAGGUCAGAGCAUGCUGCUGCUUGCUUUGCAGAGCGGUAUCUUCUGAUAUUUGGUGAGGGAUCUCAUUCUACAUAUUUCAGUGACCUACACGUCCUCGACACCCAGACAGUGAGAAUAUAUUCUUUUCUCUAAAGCUGGUAAUCAUUUAGGGAGUCCAAGUCAUUCACUUUGUUACAGAUGGAAUAGUCAAGACCAGAGCAACAAGGUAUUACUCCAGAAUCAAGAGCAGGGCAUGCAGGUGUAACUAUUGGAGAAUAUUGGCUUAUUACUGGUGGGGGAAAUAGUAGGAAAGGUGUCUCGGAUACUCUUGUACUUAACAUGUCUACUUAUGAAUUGUCAGUUGUCAGGCCCGUGCACCCCCUACAAGUGAGGGCUUGAGUUAAUGCACACUAUUAAUGGAGAAAAUUUUCUGGUGUCAUUUGGAGGAUACAUUGGCGUUAUAGUAAUCAGGCAUGC